UUCGCUAGGCAAGCACGGACUG
rnacentral:miRNA from 1 species